GGUAGAAUGGCUGAGAUUAUAGGUAAUAAACUGUAAAUUUAUUUAGGAGAAUUAUUCUCUUCUACCA
rnacentral:tRNA from 1 species